GCAGCCUGAUGCAGCCAUGCCGCGUGUGUGAAGAAGGCCUUCGGGUUGUAAAGCACUUUCAGUCGUGAGGAAGGUGGUGUUGUUAAUAGCACUAUCAUUUGACGUUAGCGACAGAAGAAGCACCGGCUAACUCCGUGCCAGCAGCCGCGGUAAA
rnacentral:rRNA from 1 species